rnacentral:rRNA from 1 species
GGGGAAUAUUGGACAAUGGGCGAAAGCCUGAUCCAGCCAUGCCGCGUGUGUGAAGAAGGUCUUCGGAUUGUAAAGCACUUUAAGUUGGGAGGAAGGGUUUCUGGCUAAUAUCCAGGAAUUUUGACGUUACCGACAGAAUAAGCACCGGCUAACUUCGUGCCAGCAGCCGCGGUAAUACGAAGGGUGCAAGCGUUAAUCGGAAUUACUGGGCGUAAAGCGCGCGUAGGUGGUUCGUUAAGUUGGAUGUGAAAGCCCCGGGCUCAACCUGGGAACUGCAUCCAAAACUGGCGAGCUAGAGUAUGGCAGAGGGUGGUGGAAUUUCCUGUGUAGCGGUGAAAUGCGUAGAGAUCGGGAGGAACAUCAGUGGCGAAGGCGACUGCCUGGGCCAACACUGACACUGAGGCACGAAAGCGUGGGGAGCAAACA